rnacentral:lncRNA from 1 species
AAGCUAAAGAAUAAAUUGACCAACUUAAAGCAUGAACUUCAUUCGAUCGAGGGCAAAAUUGGGAAACUUUAUCAAUCGAUAGACAUAAAGAGGUCAGUAGUCAAUGACAUUCGGAGCGAGCUUAUUUCGGCUCAGAGAAUAAUUGCUAAUCUUUCAGGAGCUUUAAAAAAGGACAGGUCUGUAGUGACUAAACUCCAAAUCCAGCUUGCGG